rnacentral:piRNA from 1 species
UGGAAGCUUCAUGCAUUCAACAGCAACC